AUUUUCCCGGCGAGAUUCAUCGCCGGCGAAUUUAAAGGUAGUCGGAAAAUCUAGAGAGAAAGAGAGAGAGAGAGAUUUAUAUGUAUUUUUUUGGUGAUUGUUAUUUUUUCUGGUGUGGGAGAAGAGAGGUUGGCUUGUUCUUAUAAAGGAGCAGAGAUCCGAAGCCGAAGAGGCCCAAACGAUGAAAGCUGCUGACUAGGCACUGUAAAUGCCACGUCACGUGCGUGGUGGUAAAUCUUUUUUACGGAGACGUGUCAGUAACUGCUAAUAGGUAAAUUACGUCUCUGACCUCCACUGCCGUCGAAUAUCCGUAACUAUCCGGAAAUGGAUAUUAUUUUAUUUUUUUAAUAGCGAAACAGACUCUUAACCAAUAGUUAAAUAACACGUAUCUUAAGCAAAUCUUAUUUACUCCUCGUUCUGAACCGUCGGGGUAUAUUGUACUAUCUUAUGAGAAGUAAAAUACAAAUGUGGUAUAUUAGUAAUAUUAAUUUUCGAUGAAAAAAUAAUUCAGUUUAAUUUUUAAUACAUCAUUGUUUGAUCCGCUUUAUGUCAGUAAAUAGGGGGAAACAAUAUAUGUAGACUGACCACUAAAAGACAAAAAAGUGACAAUUUUCUUUUAUUAAAAGAAAAGCAUGUUAUGGCAGUAAUUAUCUGAAUGUGAAAUGAUAGGAAUUUAGGAGUAUAAUUUAUUAAAGAUUAAAACUUUAUCCCCAUGCUGUAAUUAUGAAACUUUAAGCUUUGCUUUAUUAACCGCAUUUAAAUCACAAACCUUUAAGUUAAAAUUACUAAAAAUCAUGCAAAAAGACGGGCCCAAGUAUUUGACCGUUUGGUCUAUUCUUGUAAAGAAAAGUAAAAGUUAAAACAAAGAGAAAAAAUAAAAAGGUAAAGGUGGAUUUAAAACAAGUGUAGUGUUAAAAACGAAUAUAAGAAGAUGACUCUUCCCUUGUACGCAUGUAUGCAAUUAUCCUACCUGCUGGUAAAUUAGAGGACAACCAUAUACAUGUGAAUUUGUAAUAGUGACGACUCGUACGUAUGUAAAUAAUAUGUCGAAUUUCAACUUUUUAAAAAACUGCAUCAGAUAUUUAAAUUUUAAAUAGCCAUUUCUAUUUUUUAUUUGAACAAAUUAGCUCAAUAUACUAAAAAGAGUGGGAUACCAUAGAAUAGGGGGAAAAUGGUAAUGAUGGAGGUAAAAAAAUUGGAGGAAUAUAGGAUAUGGAGUGCAAAUAGGGAAUAUUUGAUGUGCAGAAAGUACAAAUUCUCCCUGAACAUUAACAUUUAUUUCUUUUAUUCAUUUCAUGUUGUGUAUAUUCAGUUCCAAACAUUAUUCGGUUUUAGUUUUGCUGGGUCGCUGAACAAAUCUUCAGUAAAUAGAAUUUUAAUAGAAUUAUUUUAUGUGGUUUUCAAAAGUAAUAUUGUAUACCUUUUAAAUUAUUUUAUACUGUAUGAUAUUUAAUAACAAAUCUAGUUUCGAAAUAUAUAUAAGACUUUUUUUGUUUAUAUACAGUAUAUAUCUAAGUUUUUGUUUAUUAUUAUUAUUAUUUUUAGUUUUUCUUUAUUAUAAUUAAUCUUAUUUUAUUCUUUCAAACUAACAUUGUCUUUUAAAAAAUAAGACCAUUGUUUUACAUGAAUUCAGGGACAAUCGCACUCAUUGUUCUUUAACCGAAGCGGUCCUAUCUCCAAACAUUUGAAACUUAUGAAAAUAUACGAAUAAUUUGUUAGUAUAGUUAAUGGGUCCUCUAGAAUUUGUGACACAAAAUGGUAAAAGUAAAUAAACAGUAUAAUAGACUUAACAUCGGUAGAAAUGUAUACGAUUCACAAUAUCGACAUCAUUUCCCAACUCUAUACAUGUAUUAUACAAAUUAAUAUCAGAGAAACGAAAUAACAGGCUUUGAUUUACUUUUUACUUAUAUAAGUGCAUUGUAACCCUAUUCAAUUUUUUUGUUUUGUUAAAUAAAGCAAUGCUCGAUUAUUCGCGCGUGUGUUUGUCAUCAAAGUAAUGCUACAUUGUUACCACUAUACUAGUAUAAAAUUGAAUUAGUUUAGCAUUGAUAAGCACGAAAAGAAGUGAGGGUCGAUUUGCCCUCCCCAAAACCAAAAAGCUGAUGAUACUUUCCCUCUACAGCAAUCAAGUUAUCAAAACCCUUUUUCUUUCACUUUAUUUUCCCCUUUUUUCCCCUGUCCGUGACAUACAUACUAAGUGGACUAUGUCGGUCUUCAAAAUUUAACAAAGUAAGUAAAUAAGAUUUUUAUAUUUUUUUCAAACUAGUUUAUAUAAGAAGUUAAGAAUGUAUAAAAAUAAUAAAAGAUAACCCAAUUACUUAACUAGAAUUUUGAUAGAACAAAAGAACUGAAAUUUUAUGAUAUUUUCUUUAAAAACCUUUAAUUACUAAAAUAGUAUAACUGUUAUGGCGGAAAUGGGUCUUCUGGAAUUUGUGAGCACUAAUAAACAUCAAUUUCGGAAAUUGUCCAAUGCUCUCUUGAUGAGUUUCCAUUGUAGAGACGGUGAAUAAUUUUAAUCCUUGAUUUUUGCAGAAGUUCUAACCUCUCUUUCAGCCGUCUAUUAGAACGCACACCAUCAUGAGACUAUUGUCUUCAUUUAUGUGAAAUGCGUUUAUGUUUCCUUAACAUACCUACUGUUAUGGUUUUAUGCUUUGAUUUUUUUGUAAUAUUCUGGAUUUUUUUGUCCACGUGGCUCAAUAAAAAACAGUGUUAAAAAAAUCAAAGCUCGAGUUAGAUCGUGAAAAAUAUAUCGAUUGUCUCAUGUGUUAGUUAUAUGGAAAUAAAAUUUAAAUUACUAAUAUUUGAUGAUUUUAUGAAUAUUAUCACACAACAAAAAGUAAUAUUUGAUCACUGCAUCUUUGACUCCAAAUCUUCGUCUCCACUACGGUGGUUCUCAUGAUCACUUUUUCAUAGCAAAGCUAUUUUUUGGUCUAAAUGCCUAUAUAGAAACAUGAAAGGUUUUUCACUUUUGGAAAAAUGAUUUAUUGAUGCAGUGUAACAAACUCCCAACAUUUAUUAUUUCAAUUUAUUAGUAUGUCAUUUUAUAGUACAGUAGUUUUUUGUCUCUUUAGUAUUUCGUUUAGAUUCCAACUAAAUUUAAUUAAAGGGGAGACAGUAAUACAAAACCCUCUGGGACCUGGACAGAUAUUAUUUUCACUCCCGUUUUACCUUUUUAUCUUCUUCUUUUUGGGUUUUUCUUUAUACUUUCUUUAAUUCAUUAAUGAUGUAUUUCAGGCAAUAAAUUAAUUAUUUACUAAACAUUUAGUUUCAAAAAUCAACCACUUUGUCACGCCUUAACCCAACCACCAUAUCGAGAAUUCACAGCUGACGUAUUUCUCUACUACCAAUAAACCCAUUGUAUACUAAUAUCUUCAAGAAGCAAGUGAAUAUAUUAAUGCUUCCUUAUAUGAAUGAUUAAUGUUUUAAAUUUGUUUUUGUAAUUAAAACAGACAUUUAAAAAUAUAAUUUAACGCAUUUUCUCUGAAAACUAAAAUAAAAGAUAAAUGAUAUUAAAAGUUAUUGGUAUCCAAAAAGCAAUAGCCCAUAAAUAAUUUUUUAAUAUAUGUACAAAAUUUAAGAUAUCAUUCUUUUGGUAUUUCACUUAAUUACAAUACUAAUAUUUUUUUCCUUUCACAAUAAAUACCGUUUAAAGGUUUUGAACUCAAAUUAAAAAAAAAUUAUGUUUUACUUUUAUUUAAUAAACUAUUAUGUUGAAAAAUUCGUUUAAUAUAUUAUUAAAAAUAUAAAACGAUAAUCUAUCCGUUUCAUUCUAAUUGUCGUUUAAACUUGGACACAUAAAUUAAAAGAUAUUAAUUUUGUAUAUUUACUAAAUUAAAAGAUCAUUACCAAUAUAUCUAACCACAUUUCAACUAAUAGAAAAAUAGAUUGAAAUAUAAAUUUAGUAGAUUUUGUAUUAAAAUUAUAAAACGAUAUUUAUUUUGAAAUGAAAAAUUUACUUUACAAUAAUAAUUAAACUGAAACGGAGGGAGUACUUAUGAUAAAACAAAUGUAAAACUACACUUAAUAUAAAAUUAAAAUAAUAUUAUUUUGGAAAAAGCACAAUUGGUGCUUCCGCUUGUGAGAACUUCUUUCAGGAAUACUAGCAGUUAUUAUAUUUUGAAACUCAUCGUUAAGUUCCCCUUUAAAAAGUAACUGGUAAAACAAUAAUGAAUUGAUGGAAUAAAAAAAAAUUGGAAUGAUAGCAAUGAAAUAUAGUAAAAAUUGGAAUGAAAUUCAUUCUAUUCACUCAUAACCAAAUUUAUUUUAGAAUCAUUUAUUUUUAUAUUUAUCUAUUUUUUUAUGGAACUGAUGGAAUGAGUAUUCUAUUCUAUUCAGAUCAAAUGGUAAAAAAAAAUUUCGAAUAAAUGAAAUAAGACAUUCCACAUCAUUCUAUUCCAAAAUUGACAAUUCAGUUGCAGCCUUCUAUUCGAGACUAGAAAAAAGUUCAAUUCUUUUUUUUCUGGUCAAAAAAGAAAGUUCAGUUCUAACAGCAUUUACAACUCAAGACAUGAUUGUGAAUUUGUAAUCCAUAUUAACACUCUACUAUACAGACUAUAUUUUAUUUCGUAUAUAGUCUAAUUGUGAUUUCAUGAUUCAUUGAAUUUAUCCAAAUGUUCAUUUAUGGAUCAUACAGAUUUUCAAUAUAAUUGGCGGAGAAACAUAGCUGUAUUUAAGCUGAUUUGGAGAUUAGCUAUUUCGAAGACUCAUAUAUCAUCAUAGGGAAAAUCGCAUAAAAAACCUUGAAAGUGUCACUUACUAGCACUUUAAACUUUGAAGUUUUUUCGCUAGCACUUUUAACCUUCAAAGUGACAUUUUUAUCAUAAAAAACCUCCAAACAAAAAAAAUGACCGGUUGAACAGGUUAAAAACAGUUUUUUUUUUCAAAAAAUAAAUAUUUAAUUAAUAAAAUAAAUAAAAAAAUUAAUAAAAAUCGAAAAAUUUAACAAAAAACUCACAAAUUAAAAAA